UGAGGAAGGUGCCUGCUUUCCCUUCACCUUCUGCCAUGAUUGCAAGUGUCCUGUAUCCUCCUGGCCAUGUGGAACUGUGAGUCAAUUAAAUCUUUUUUCUUUAUAAAUCACCCAGUCUCAGGUAUUCUUUAGAACAGUGUGACAUCGGACUAAAACACUAUUUCUCCCAGCCCGAAUGCUGGAGUGAGUGUAUAUGCAACUGAUAUCCCCAGUAACUGGGGGCUCCCUUUGGCUGCUAAGUGAAUGGCAGGGAGGCUUGAGGCUGCGCUGUUCACUUUAGGAAACAGCGAGGUGUCUGAGCUAGGGAAUCCUAAAAAGGAUUACUGUCACAAAUUGAACUGAAAUUUAAGAAACACACAAACUGAAACAAGACCUUUUAAUUUGUAGCCCCAAACAGGCAAACUGCUCUGUUGAAACAAUUAAGCAGCUGUGAUGAGGAGGGGCAGCAAUACACAGCAGCUGCCCGGAUUUCCAAGGAGGUUACAGAGAGUUCACGGACUUAGAACCACUCUAGCUCACCUGGCUCCACGUGGCGACUCCAGGCUCUGCACCCUUCCGGCCGCUAAGACAAGGCCUCAGACACGGGGUUCUGCCCUGUUUACUGUCAGCAGAGCCAAGCUGAGAAGGAUGGGCACGAGAAAAGGCUAGACCUAGCAUCACUGGACAUGCUAUUUCUUACUGUGUGCCAGUAUUUCAGACCAGAAUGAUAGAUGCCUCCUUCACCCCUCUCUGGACUAAUGGGCGAUAAAGAUUUUGUAAUGAGACAUGGAGAGAUUGUUCUGUUUCCUACCUACUGCAUCUGGUGUUUGCUUAGUUGACUGUCUUUUUUUCUCCAGGCAGUAAGUUACUUGAGGACACGGACUUUGUUGUAUCAAUCUUUUAAAUAUUACCACUAGCACAGAACCACUGAGAACAUAUUUAUUUCUAAA
rnacentral:lncRNA from 1 species